AAAGCAUCUUAUAAACUUUGUGAGGCUUUGGCUUUGCUCUCUACAAAGGAAAACUUGGGAAAAACUUCACUUAGGAAAUUUUCUUAACUUUUCCAAGUCCACAACUGACACCAGUACUGAACAGCUCUGCAAGUUAUAAUCCUACUAAUUAUAAGAAUGAAAGGUGUUUCAUCAAAUCAGCAAAAGCUUAAUGAUACUUACUUGGAAGGCCAAGUCAAAAAACCCCCCACAAACAUCACAUUGAAACGUCCUGUAGAGACAGCCCAUGCAAACAGGUUUAUGAGGUUGGAUUGUCAAGGGAAGGGCGCUCAGCACCUGUAACUCGAGG
rnacentral:lncRNA from 1 species